GUCUGAUGCUGGGGCUUUGCUGCUUUAAUUAUAGCCGAAACGAGCUUAAUCCCGCUUCAAACGCAGCUGUGGUUUCAGCGUCCUGUGUGGCGAGUCUGCAGGGGUAUUUAAACCGAUUCUGCCAGGGCAUGGUGCCACGGCGCCGGCUAUGAGCGCAGCGGGGGCGCGGGGAUAAAAAGGGGCACCGCAAAAAAGCGACGCGGGCCCCGCAAAGGAGGCGAGCGGCCUUUCCUCCCCCUUCGCAUCCCUAUUCAGCUGCAGUGACCGUGAUUCAUCUGACACAAGGAGGGGACCUGCCCACCCCUGCCGCCUGAUAGGCACUAUUUUGAGGACAUGGACGAGUUUCUGCUGUCUGCUGCGUGGCGGCCCUCUUAAACUGGAAGAGCUGUCAGGAUGAAUUAGGACCAAGGCCGUAACACCCAACGCCUGAGAAGGCAAUGUUCACAUCCCGAGUAGCACGUUCGCCCCCCACACGGCCGAAACAACGCACAGUCAAUCCUGCGGAAGAGUAAGAACACACAUUUAAAUCCGCCCGACAGACAACACUACAGUGUCGGAACCAGGCAGCGGCUCGGUGGGACGAGGUUCAUAGCAUCUGCGAGGCUGAAUCACACCUCCCUCUGUCGGUGAGGUGGGGCUUCGUCCUGCAGAAAGCACCGUCUUUGGAC